rnacentral:lncRNA from 1 species
AUUGUAGUAUCCUCCAUGUGUGCUCAUCUGUAUCUAUCCUUGUGUGCCCAACUAUAUCUAUCCUUGUGUGCCCGGCUGUAUCUAUCCUUGUGUGCCCGGCUGUAUCUAUCCUUGUGUGCCCGGCUGUAUCCUCCAGGUGUGCAUGUUCAGGCCUUUAUUCAAUUCAUGGCUCUUUUAUGGGGUCAAGUCAUUGCUUUUUCUCCCUUAGGCCUCUGUGUUUUGGAAUUGGUAAUCCCUUCACAGAAGCCAGAGACUAGACAGCUAGUCAGUUUAGUGUUCUGGACUCAGAGCUGGAAUGGUUAGGAGUGGUAAGUCUGUAAAGGGUUAACCAACUGGAUAGGCAUGAGUCUCAUUGGGUG